rnacentral:piRNA from 1 species
UUCAUCAUCUGCUUGCUAAAGAGUGUUG